rnacentral:rRNA from 1 species
ACUGGUGCGCGAGAUGAGUAUUCUAAGGCGCUUGAGAGAACUCAGGAGAAGGAACUCGGCAAAUUGACACCGUAACUUCGGAAGAAGGUGUGCCUUUAGUAGGUGAAGGGAUUUACUCCUGGAGCCCAAUGAGGUUGCAAAAAAUCGGUGGCUGCGACUGUUUAUUAAAAACACAGCACUCUGCAAACACGAAAGUGGACGUAUAGGGUGUGACGCCUGCCCGGUGCUGGAAGAUUAAAUGAUGGGGUGCAAGCUCUUGAUUGAAGUCCCAGUAAACGGCGGCCGUAACGAUAACGGUCCUAAGGUAGCGAAAUUCCUUGUCGGGUAAGUUCCGACCUGCACGAAUGGCGUAACGAUGGCCACACUGUCUCCUCCUGAGACUCAGCGAAGUUGAAAUGUUUGUGAUGAUGCAAUCUCCCCGCGGAAAGACGGAAAGACCCCAUGAACCUUUACUGUAGCUUUGUAUUGGACUUUGAACGGAUCUGUGUAGGAUAGGUGGGAGGCUUUGAAGCAGGGUCGCUAGAUCUUGUGGAGCCAACGUUGAAAUACCACCCUGGUGCGUUUGAGGUUCUAACCUACGUCCAUUAUCUGGAUCGGGGACAGUGCAUGGUAGGCAGUUUGACUGGGGCGGUCUCCUCCCAAAGCGUAACGGAGGAGUUCGAAGGUACGCUAGUUACGGUCGGACAUCGUGACGAUAGUGCAAUGGCAUAAGCGUGCUUAACUGCGAGACUGACAAGUCGAGCAGAUGCGAAAGCAGGACAUAGUGAUCCGGUGGUUCUGUAUGGAAGGGCCAUCGCUCAACGGAUAAAAGGUACUCUGGGGAUAACAGGCUGAUACCGCCCAAGAGUUCAUAUCGACGGCGGUGUUUGGCACCUCGAUGUCGGCUCAUCUCAUCCUGGGGCUGUAGCCGGUCCCAAGGGUAUGGCUGUUCGCCAUUUAAAGAGGUACGUGAGCUGGGUUUAAAACGUCGUGAGACAGUUUGGUCCCUAUCUUCCGUGGGCGCUGCAGAUUUGAGGAAGCCUGCUCCUAGUACGAGAGGACCGGAGUGGACACACCUCUGGUGUAUCGGUUGUCACGCCAGUGGCAUUGCCGAGUAGCUAAGUGUGGAAGAGAUAACCGCUGAAAGCAUCUAAGCGGGAAACUCGUUUCAAGAUGAGAUCUGCCGGGGCCUUGAGCCCCCUGAAGAGUCGUUCAAGACCAGGACGUUGAUAGGCAGGGUGUGGAAGCGU